GGGGACACUAGCAGGAAGUUUGCCUGACCCUCCUUUCUUCAGCACUCACUUUGAGGAUGCUGUUUGCCUUAUGUAAACUUUGGGAUCUGAGUAGCUCAAGAGGAGGCAGUCUUAAACCAGAGCCUAAUGGCGGACUUGCGGUCAACUCCAGAGCGUUACUAAGCUCUGAGCUUUUCACCACAUCGCAAGGUUGAGGGAUGAAGUACAUUAGUCUGCUCUGGUGCUGGAGUUCAGAAACUCCCUUGUUUUGUAUUUAGAAGUGCAUGUGGAGUCUGAAGCCUGAGGAGCAUCUGCUUUCUACGCAAACAUCAUUCAAGGUUGGCAGCUGAGACACAGCAACCUUGGCUACGAUAAGGAGGUCUCCAGGUGGAGCACAACUCUCAACUUUCCUGUCAGACUUCUCUACAAUCUGUGCUAUCAAUCGGACACUGCAGUAACGCUUCUUCAGAGUUUGAUUUGGGUGAAUUUAUUUAACCUUGUACAUGACAGGAAUUGCGCAGAGCUAAAGAGCAAGGGAGUGACGUUAACUUGACCCUCAUCUUGGAAUGCUGCUGGAGGAACAUGUCCUUGUCAGUGCACUGAGAUAGCUCAGGGACCAACAGAGUGGAGGAGAAGUCAGGGAAAAGGGUGUCUUGUCUGCUCUGCCAUUUUCUUCCCUUUGGAAAUCUUGCCAGAGUUUACAUGCUGAAGAUGAAGUAAAUACUAAUAAAGCUGCCAUUAAUUAAAA